UUGAAGAAGAGAGAGAGCUAUAACCAUUAUGGACAAUUAGUGUCUCUCCUUUGCCCUGUGCCUAUUCUUCAUGAUGCCCUCUGUACAUUGCUCACAGAAU
rnacentral:miRNA from 1 species